UACGGAGGAUGCGAGCGUUAUCCGGAUUUAUUGGGUUUAAAGGGUGCGUAGGCGGAUCGUUAAGUCAGUGGUCAAAUUGAGGGGCUCAACCCCUUCCCGCCAUUGAGACUGGCGAUCUUGAGUGGAAGAGAAGUAUGCGGAAUGCGUGGUGUAGCGGUGAAAUGCAUAGAUAUCACGCAGAACCCCGAUUGCGAAGGCAGCAUGCCGGCUUCCUACUGACGCUGAAGCACGAAAGCGUGGGGAUCGAACAGG
rnacentral:rRNA from 1 species